AGAGUUUGAUCCUGGCUCAGGACGAACGCUGGCGGCGUGCUUAACACAUGCAAGUCGAACGGGAUCCUGGUGCUUGCACCAGGUGAGAGUGGCGGACGGGUGAGUAACGCGUGGGCAACCUGCCCUGUGGAGGGGGAUAGCCUCGGGAAACCGGGAUUAAUACCGUAUGACAUUGAUUAUUCGCAUGGAUGAUCAAUCAAAGGAUUUAUUGCCACAGGAUGGGCCCGCGUCCCAUUAGCUAGUUGGUGAGAUAACAGCUCACCAAGGCGACGAUGGGUAGCCGACCUGAGAGGGUGAACGGCCACACUGGGACUGAGACACGGCCCAGACUCCUACGGGAGGCAGCAGUGGGGAAUAUUGCGCAAUGGGGGAAACCCUGACGCAGCAACGCCGCGUGAGCGAAGAAGGUCUUCGGAUCGUAAAGCUCUGUCUUUGGGGAAGAAAUUUUGACGGUACCCAAGGAGGAAGCCCCGGCUAACUACGUGCCAGCAGCCGCGGUAAUACGUAGGGGGCAAGCGUUGUCCGGAAUCACUGGGCGUAAAGGGCGCGUAGGCGGUAUGAUAAGUCAGAUGUGAAAGUUCGGGGCUCAACCCCGGAAUUGCAUUUGAAACUGUCAUACUUGAGUACUGGAGAGGUAAGUGGAAUUCCUAGUGUAGCGGUGAAAUGCGUAGAGAUUAGGAGGAACACCAGUGGCGAAGGCGGCUUACUGGACAGUUACUGACGCUGAGGCGCGAAAGCGUGGGGAGCGAACAGGAUUAGAUACCCUGGUAGUCCACGCCGUAAACGAUGAGUGCUAGGUGUUGGGGAGACUCAGUGCCGUAGUUAACACAAUAAGCACUCCGCCUGGGGAGUACGGUCGCAAGACUGAAACUCAAAGGAAUUGACGG
rnacentral:rRNA from 1 species